UGGCUCAGACGAACGCUGGCGGCGUGCUUAACACAUGCAAGUCGAACGAUGAUCUCCAGCUUGCUGGGGUGAUUAGUGGCGAACGGGUGAGUAAUACGUGAGUAACCUGCCCUUGACUCUGGGAUAAGCCUGGGAAACCGGGUCUAAUACUGGAUACUACUGUCCACCGCAUGGUGGGUGGUGGAAAGGGUUUGACUGGUUUUGGAUGGGCUCACGGCCUAUCAGCUUGUUGGUGGGGUAAUGGCUCACCAAGGCGACGACGGGUAGCCGGCCUGAGAGGGUGACCGGCCACACUGGGACUGAGACACGGCCCAGACUCCUACGGGAGGCAGCAGUGGGGAAUAUUGCACAAUGGGCGGAAGCCUGAUGCAGCGACGCCGCGUGAGGGAUGACGGCCUUCGGGUUGUAAACCUCUUUCAGCAGGGAAGAAGCCACAAGUGACGGUACCUGCAGAAGAAGCGCCGG
rnacentral:rRNA from 1 species